rnacentral:tmRNA from 1 species
GGGGGCGACAAGCAGAGGUAGACGGCUGCCAGCAAAAGCUGAACACGCUUGCCCGCGACCUGCGCGUCAACAGGAAUAAGUGCAAACACGACAUCACAAGCUAGCGACGAAAGCAAGCUAGUCCCAAGUAGGGCAGCAAGCUUAUAGCAAAAGCCAAGCCAGCGCGUGCUGGCUAGCUGGAGCGGGGCCAGGGGGCGCCCGACAACACAAGCCCCCAGC